UACGAAGGGGGCUAGCGUUGCUCGGAAUCACUGGGCGUAAAGCGCACGUAGGCGGACUCUUAAGUCGGGGGUGAAAUCCUGAGGCUCAACCUCAGAACUGCCUUCGAUACUGGCGAUCUUGAGUUCGGAAGAGGUUGGUGGAACAGCUAGUGUAGAGGUGAAAUUCGUAGAUAUUAGCUAGAACACCAGUGGCGAAGGCGGCCAACUGGUCCGAUACUGACGCUGAGGUGCGAAAGCGUGGGGAGCAAACAGG
rnacentral:rRNA from 1 species